ensembl:snRNA U6 U6 spliceosomal RNA
AUGCUUGCUUCAGCAGCCCAUAUCCUGCAAUCAAAUAACAUAAAGAAGUUUAGCAUGGCUACUGCAUAAGGGUAACACACAAAUUCAUGAAGCACUCCAUAUUUUU